GACGACGCAGACAAAGUCUUUUUAAAGACUAAAAACUUCCAUCAAGAGCAGAAGAACAAAAGAAGAAGAAGAAGAGGAAGAAGAAGAACCUGCCGGCCCCUUGUGGGUCAUCUGGGGCAGCAGAGAUGGGCAUGAGUGCCAGUAGCAGGCAGUACUAUGAGUACCGCUAUGGAAAGAUCUCAUGGUGGAUCCCCCUCAUCUGGAUGUCUUCGAGAUCAGGGAUUUUGAGGAUCCACGCGCAGGCCCCUAUUUGGAGGGCAUUAGGGGCCAGAUAACGGGUGACAUCAAGAUGGCCCUGUACGAUCUGUGGAUGGCAAGGGAUUGCAUUAAAAUAACAAAAUGGUGGCGAUUCCUUCUCAAGGCCGAGUUCCGAGGGGACUAUAAAUAUAUUAAAGCCCACCUAAAAGGCCUCUAUAAAGAACUAGAGGCUGUCAACAAGGCCAUCCUGAUGCGGGACAACGAGAGAUAUUAAGGUGCCGUAUAAAAUCUAUGCUUUUCUCUCAUCUUUCUAUGGCCCUUCAAACAUAUUGGAAAAGGCACCUACUGACAGCACCACUACCAAUUUCCUGGGUACCAAGUACAGUUGCACCUCUGUCUAGGUACCCUCAUUAGCAGUAGGUAAGAACAACCGAAUUCUACCAGCUGUGCCUCCACUACUGCCCAACACAUUCCACCAGUGGUGCUACCCCUUCCAGCCGCCACUAUUCCACCUGCGGUGCCCCCUACUCAAUC